UACGUAGGGGGCAAGCGUUGUCCGGAUUUAUUGGGCGUAAAGAGCGUGUAGGCGGUUAGGUAAGUCCGUUGUGAAAACUCGAGGCUCAACCUCGAGACGCCGAUGGAAACCCCCUAACUAGAGUCCGGAAGAGGAGAGUGGAAUUCCUGGUGUAGCGGUGAAAUGCGCAGAUAUCAGGAAGAACACCCGUGGCUAAGGCGGCUCUCUAGUACGGUACUGACGCUGAGACGCGAAAGCGUGGGGAGCGAACAGG
rnacentral:rRNA from 1 species